UGGGGAAUAUUGCACAAUGGGCGCAAGCCUGAUGCAGCCAUGCCGCGUGUAUGAAGAAGGCCUUCGGGUUGUAAAGUACUUUCAGCGAGGAGGAAGGUGUUGUGGUUAAUAACCGCAGCAAUUGACGUUACUCGCAGAAUAAGCACCGGCCAACUCCGUGCCAGCAGCCGCGGGAAUACGGAGGGUGCAAGCGUUAAUCGGAAUUACUGGGCGUAAAGCGCACGCAGGCGGUCUGUCAAGUCGGAUGUGAAAUCCCCGGGCUCAACCUGGGAACUGCAUCCGAAACUGGCAGGCUAGAGUCUUGUAGAGGGGGGUAGAAUUCCAGGUGUAGCGGUGAAAUGCGUAGAGAUCUGGAGGAAUACCGGUGGCGAAGGCGGCCCCCUGGACAAAGACUGACGCUCAGGUGCGAAAGCGUGGGGAGCAAACA
rnacentral:rRNA from 1 species